AGAUACUAUAGAGGAGCUUUCCAUAAUAGUAAAUAGUUUAGCAGGCAUGCAAGGAUGCUAUUGAAAGGAUAGGGAGGCCGAAUCUUUAAUUUGGGCACAAAUUAAAGGUGGUAACAAUUCAUAACAGUUUGUUACUCUUUGGAAAUCCAUUGGCGCUAUAGUCUAC
rnacentral:ncRNA from 2 species